rnacentral:misc_RNA from 1 species
GGAAGGUACACAGAACA